GGGGGUAUAGCUCAGUGGUAGAGCAUUUGACUGCAGAUCAAGUGGAGCCCGGUUCAAAUAUGGGUACCUCCU